rnacentral:rRNA from 1 species
UACAGAGGUCUCAAGCGUUGUUCAGAUUCAUUGGGCGUAAAGGGUGCGUAGGCGGCGCGGUAAGUCGGGUGUGAAAUCUCGGAGCUUAACUCCGAAACUGCAUUCGAUACUGCCGUGCUUGAGGACUGGAGAGGAGACUGGAAUUUACGGUGUAGCGGUGAAAUGCGUAGAUAUCGUAAGGAAGACCAGUGGCGAAGGCGGCUUUCUGGGCCUUACCUGACGCUGAGACGCGAAAGCGUGGGGAGCGAACCGG